UACGAAGGGGGCUAGCGUUGCUCGGAAUUACUGGGCGUAAAGCGCGCGUAGGCGGUUUCUUAAGUCGGUGGUGAAAUCCUGGAGCUCAACUCCAGAACUGCCUUCGAUACUGGGGAACUUGAGUUCGGGGAGAGGUGAGUGGAACUGCGAGUGUAGAGGUGAAAUUCGUAGAUAUUAGCUAGAACACCAGUGGCGAAGGCGGCCAACUGGUCCGGUACUGACGCUGAGGUGCGAAAGCGUGGGGAGCAAACAGGG
rnacentral:rRNA from 1 species